UUGCAGGUAGAAGGCAGGUCCUUUUUGGUGUAAACAAACGAGAUCGGGCUAGAGUGACAAUCAUUCCUGAUGGCUCGUAUCUGGUUUAUACUCGGUAACUUGUCCCUCUAUUAAUGGGGUUCUUCAGAAUCCAGCCUCACAAGCCCUCCUCCCGCAGCGGUGGCCUCCACCUCCGGCCUGGCGCAGCUCACGUGGUCCAGCUUGUGCAAGACCCAAUUCCAACUCCGUGUUUCUGGCUUUUGGCCACUCAGGAUAGAACCUGGGACUGGUGCUGGUCGGCCCUGCAGGCGCUGAGCCUGGGGACAGCGGAAGCAGAGAUUCCCCGACCAGUUCCCGUGACUUCCUGGAGCGCCGCCACGCCCCGUCCGACUCCCUGCCCCCAGGAUGCAAGGCGCUUGCUGCUGUCGCUCUGCUGCUCUAGCUCUAGCUCCGCUGCCGCCAUCCCUAUUCCCUGCCUGUCCCUCUCUCCGCCCUGUCGCGCCCCCGGGAGGCAGAAAGAACGCUGCCGCGUUUCCGGCGAGACCUGGCUGUCUUGCCCCGCGGCUUCUGUGCUCGUGUGGACCGUGAGUGCCUUCGGAAGAUCGAGUGCCUUUGCUUUGGUUGGGCUAUGGCUACACAGCACUGGUUGCUUCCGGCGGGAUCUUUGGCUAUGUAAAAACAGGCAGAGUGCCAUCCUUGGUUGUGGGGCUGUUCUUCGGCAGCCUAGCCGGCCUGGGUUCUUACCAGCUGUCUCAGGAUCCAAACAAUGUUUGGCUUUUCCUAGCCGCUACAUCUGGUACCUUUGCUGCUGUUAUGGCAUUGAGAUCCUACUACUAUGGAAAAGUCAUGCCUGUAGGUUUAAUCGCAGGUGCCAGCUCCUCCCCAUGGUGGCCGAAGUUUUAAUGCAAAGCCACGACUGCAGCCUUUUGUGUGACUUGAGUUUGCUGAUGGUCGCCAAAGUUGGAGUUCGAAUGUUGAUGGCAUACAAUGAGUAGAAGUUGUGCUCCAAGCUGGACUCAUGAAGAAUUCAAAUCUGAAUCUUCCACUAUUUUCAUUGUAUUAAGAGAAAUAAGGGCAGAUUUUUUGCAUUUCUGACAUUUUGCCUAAAAAAAAAAAAAGACACCAAAUUUGGCAGAGGAGUGGAAAAUCAGUCGUUAUCAUUACAACCCUACAGAGGUGAUGGCGGCCACAGAAUAAGCAUCGAAUUCAUUCUGCCCAAGAAAGGCGGGGGAGAGAGGACACAGCAAGACGUGAGCUGGCAGUCCCCGCCCCCUUGGUCCUGCCAGUGAUAGCACCGACUGUCGGCCUGCACACGCCUCUUGAACGCUGCUGCAGCUGGAUCCAUAAUGUGGGAAGUUGGCAUGUUGAGAGGGAAAUAAUAGCCAUCUUCAACUGUUGACUAAAAUAAUUUCAAUCAAUGAGGUUGUUUGGAGCCUGAAAUAAACUGGUUUGGAUGGCCUAAAAAAACAGAAGUGGGAAACGAAGUGCUUGAAAAACUCCCAUACAGGCUGGGCACAGAGGCUCAUCCCUAUAAUCCCAGCAGUUUGGCAGGCCAAGGUGGAUGGAUCACAAGAUCAGGAGUUUGAGAUCAGUUUGACCAACAUGGUGAAAACCUGUCUCUACUGAAAAUACAAAAAUUGGCCGGUCGUGGUGGCCCAUGCCUGUGGUCCCAGCUACUUGGGAGGCUGAAGCAGGAGAAUCGCUAGAACCCAGGAGGCAGAGGUUGCCGUGAGCCAAGAUCACGCCACUACACUCCAGCAUGGGUGACAGACCGAAAUUCUGUCUCAAAAAAAAAAAAAAAAAAAAAAAGAAUAGAAAAGCUCCCAUAUAAGAUUUCUAAUUUCUCUAGUGUCAGGUACAGAAAAUAGGUAUUUGUGGAGAUGUGCCUGUGUCUCAGUUGGCAGAACAGACUUAUGCAGUGGCUAAGCACCUAGCUAGCUGUUGGGUGGUGUCAGUACUAAGACUGACUCUGCCCAUCAGUCCCUGCCUCCCACAGUCCUGUUUCUGUGUUGGAACUGAGGACUUUCUGCUUCGAGGCUUAGUUCUGUCUCAUUCCUGAGGCCUUUUUGACCAGGCAGCAGUGUGUGUGGCAGCCAUUGCUACCAAAAGGGGAGGCUGGAACUUGUUUUGCUCCCUGUCUGGGUGCGUCACAAUGAGCCCUCCAUGACUGACCUCCCCACCACCCUCCGACUGGGCAGCUUCCUUGCUGGGGCCUGAAUGUACUGUCCAACUUCCAUCACUUGUUAACUUCAAGCAUUCGUGGUUUCCACCCAGAAAUUCGUGCUACCAUACCCUACUCACCAAGUCGAUCCCCUUCGAAAUGGACACUCCCUUGGGUGGCCCUUCGAACUGCUAGCCACCUGUUUGGGGGCAGUUCCAGGCACAGGUACAUCUGCCCACCAUUUUUGGCAUCUUUCCCUUCCCAAGCCCACUACUGUUAUAUCACUCACUGAAAUUCUACUCAUUCUCGCCAGGCAUAGUGGCUCAUACCUGUAAUCACAGCACUUUGGGAGGCCAAGGAGGGCAGAUCACCUGAGGUUGGGAGUUCGAGACCAGCCUGACCAACAUGGAUAAACCCUGUCUCUGCUAAAAAUACAAAAUUAGCUGGGUGUGGUGGUGCACGCCAGUAAUCCCAGCUACUCAGGAGGCUGAGGCUGGAGAAUUGCUUGAACUCGGGAGGCGGAGGUUGCGGUGAGCUGAUAUUAUGCCAUUGUACUCCAGCCUGGGCAACAAGAAUGAAACUCCAUCUCAAAAAAAAAAAGAAAAGCAAAGAAAGAAAUUCUACCCAUUUUCAAAACUGCUCACUCUAAAAAGACUUUUCUCUCCUCAUCAGAGGGAUUUCUGCCCAGAGACAAAAUACCCAGGGCUUCUUGCAGCUCCGUCACUGGUGGCACUAAAUACACACAUAUGUCAUGUGAUAUAAUCCUCUGGAGGUCUUAUUCUGUUGGUAUAUAUUUGAUGAGUUGAGGAGAGGCUUAAUACCAACUAGGUGUUUAGUAAACACCUACUGAAUAUAAAUACAAGUAUAAAUGUAAGUAUAAAUAUCUUGCUUUUGUUCACUUUUUUUUUUUGAGAUGGAGUUUCACUCUUGUUACCUAGGCUGGAGUGCAAUGGCGCGAUCUCGGCUCACCGCAACCUCCGCCUCCUGGGUUCAGGCAAUUCUUCUGCCUCAGCCUCCUGAGCAGCUGGGAUUACAGGCACGUGCCACUAUGCGCAGCUAAUUUUUUGUAUUUUUUAGUAGAGACGGGGUUUCACCAUGUUGACCAGGAUGGUCUCGAUCUCUUGACCUCGUGAUCCACCCGCUUCGGACUCCCAAAGUGUUGGGAUUACAGGCGUGAGCCACUGCGCCCGGCGCCUUUGUUCACUUUUAAGAAGACCAGGCAUGGUGGCUCAUGCCUGUAAUUCCAGCAUGAUUCUAAGUUUCCAGAAUCCCUCACCAGAGGCAGAUGCUGGCACUAGGCUUCCUGGACAGCCUGCAGAACCAUGCGCCAACACAUUCUUUACAGCAGUGCAAAAACGAACUGACACACUCUCUCUCUACACACACACACACACACACACACACACACACACCACUCAUCUGUUAAUACUGAGAAUUGUUACCAUGAGAAGAUUCUUACCUUUUCAGAGGUAUGCGAAAAGAUCUGUAUUUUGUGGAAGAAACCAAUAUUAAGCAAACGUUUUUCUUUUUUUUUUUAAGAUGGAGUCUCACUUUGUUGCCCAGGCUGGAGUGCAGUGCUGCAAUCUCAGCUCACUGCAACAAUCACCUCCAAGGUUCAAGCAAUUCUCAUGGCUCAGCUUCCUGAGUAGCUGGGAUUACAGGCGUGCACCACCAUGCCCAGCUAAUUUUUAUAUUUUUAAUAGAGACAGGGUUUUGUCAUGUUGGCCAGGCUGGUUUCGAACUCCUGGCUUCCAGUGAUCCACUCGCCUCAAUCUCCCAAAGUGCUGGGAAUACAGGCCUGAGCCACUGCACCUGGCCUAUUAAGCAAACUUUUUUUUUCAUUUAAGGCCCAUGUGCAUUUAUAUUUAAUGAGUAAAAUAAAGUUGACACAUGGCAAAAACAUUUUUCUGAGGAAUCUGAAAUCUUACCGAGAU